CAGGCCUAACACAUGCAAGGAGGCAGAAAUGGGGAAUAUUGCUCAAUGGGCGAAAGCCUGACGCAGCCAUGCCACGUGUGUGAAGAAGGCCUUCGGGUUGUAAAGCACUUUCAAUUGGGAAGAAAGGUUGCGUGUUAAUAGCACGUAGCUGUGACGUUACCUUUAGAAGAAGCACCGGCUAACUCCGUGCCAGCAGCCGCGGUAAUACGGAGGGUGCGAGCGUUAAUCGGAAUUACUGGGCGUAUUGCGCGCGUAGGCGGUUUGUUAAGUCUGAUGUGAAACCCCUGGGCUCACCCUGGGAAUUGCCUUCGAUACUGGCCGACUAGAGUACGAGAGAGGGAGGUAGAAUUCCACGUGUAGCGAUGAAAUGCGUAUAUAUGUGGAGUUAUACCGGUGGGGAAGGCGGCCUCCUGACUCGAUACUGACUCUGAGGUGCGAAUGCGUGGGUAGCAAACAGGAUUAGAUACCCUGGUACUCCACGCCAGAAACGAUGUCUACUAUCCGUUGAGAUACUUGAUUUCUUAGUGGCGCAGCUAACUCACUAAGUAGACCGCCAGGGGAGUACGGCCACCUGGUAAAAACUCAUAUGAAUUGACGGGGGCCCGCACAAGGGGUGGAAGUAUGUGUUUUAAUUCGACGCAACG
rnacentral:rRNA from 1 species